AGCGAGCCCUGAGAUGAGUCUUCCCUGGCACUUUAAGUGUCCUAAAGGGUUGUUCGAGACUAGAACGUUGAUAGGUUGGGUGUGUAAGCGCUGUGAGGCGUUGAGCUAACCAAUACUAAUUGCCCGUGAGGCUUAACCAU
rnacentral:rRNA from 1 species